GAAGUAGGGUGGGAGCGUUGUCCGGAAUUAUUGGGCGUAAAGAGCUUGUAGGCGGUUUGUCGCGUCUGCUGUGAAAAUCCGGGGCUCAACCCCGGACUUGCAGUGGGUACGGGCAGACUAGAGUGUGGUAGGGGAGACUGGAAUUCCUGGUGUAGCGGUGGAAUGCGCAGAUAUCAGGAGGAACACCGAUGGCGAAGGCAGGUCUCUGGGCCACUACUGACGCUGAGAAGCGAAAGCAUGGGGAGCGAACAGG
rnacentral:rRNA from 1 species